AUACUUACCUGGCAGAGAAGACACGCUGAUCAAAAAGGGCGUUCUUCCAGGAUGAGGCCCGAUCAUUGCACCCCUGGUCUGGGUUGACCCCUGCGAUUACCCCAAACGCGGGUAACUCGGCUGUGUAAUUUCUGAUAGUGGGGGUCUGCGUUCGCGCUUACCCCCG
rfam:Branchiostoma floridae genomic scaffold BRAFLscaffold_70, whole genome shotgun sequence.